rnacentral:rRNA from 1 species
CUGCUUGCACUGAUUUCACAAUGAAGCGAGUGGCGAACUGGUGAGUAACACGUGGGAAAUCUGCCCAGAAGCAGGGGAUAACACUUGGAAACAGGUGCUAAUACCGUAUAACAACAAAAUCCGCAUGGAUUUUGUUUGAAACGUGCCUUCAUCUAUCACUUCUGGAAGAUC